rnacentral:rRNA from 1 species
UACAGAGGGUGCGAGCGUUAAUCGGAAUUACUGGGCGUAAAGCGUGCGUAGACGGCCUGGCAAGUGGAAGGUGAAAUCCCUCGGCUUAACCGAGGAACUGCCCUCCAAACUGCUUGGCUUGAGUCCGGGAGAGGUGAGUGGAAUUCCCAGUGUAGCGGUGAAAUGCGUAGAUAUUGGGAGGAACACCAGUGGCGAAGGCGGCUCACUGGACCGGAACUGACGCUGAGGCGCGAAAGCGUGGGGAGCAAACGGG